UCUGUGUACAUAAUUGUGUGUGUGUGGUGUGUGAUUUAAAUGAAAAAGAAAAAGAGAAAAGAAAUAUAAAACAAAGUGGGACCCACAUCACUUUUUAAGUGAUUUAUGAGACCAAAAUUGCUCUCUGCUGCUCUCUCUCUCUCCCGACUGCUCUCGGCUUCUCCUUUUUUCUUUUUUCUUUUCUUUUCACUUCAACUUCCAUUGUUGAUUGCUCCUUCAUCUUUUGUCGGAUUGAGGUGCCGUUUGAGGCAAAACGAAGCUUGUAGUGAGCUCUACGCAUCCAUACUAUCAAUUUCCAGAUUUGAGUCUUCCUUGGAGCUCGAAUUUGGAGGACCUAUUCUAGGGAUUUCGGCUUGGAUUGUGAGGUCUUGGAAAGGAACUGGUGGAUGACAACCCACCUCAAGCUUGAACGGCAUUAGAAGUUCACUUUUGUAUCUUUGUAUAUUCCCCAUUAUUUUGUAAAACACUAGAAGUGCAAAGAUGUAUAAUUAUUUUGUGGAACUUUGUCAUGUAAUAUAACUAAAGUAUUGAUGAUGUUUUGGAUGGGGAUUUGAUAGUA